rnacentral:rRNA from 1 species
GAGUAACACGUGAGAAUUUGCCUUUAGGAGGGGAAUAACAAUUGGAAACGAAUGCUAAUACCCCAUAUGCUUUUAAUAAGUGAAAUGGAUUUAUCCGCCUAGAGAGAAGCUUGCGGCUGAUUAGCUUGUUGGUAAGGUAAAGGCUUACCAAGGCGACGAUCAGUAUCUGGUUUGAGAGGACGAUCAGACACACUGGAACUGAGACACGGUCCAGACUCCUACGGGAGGCAGCAGUGGGGAAUUUUCCGCAAUGGGCGAAAGCCUGACGGAGCAAUACCGCGUGAGGGAAGAAUGCCUAUGGGUUGUAAACCUCUUUUUUCAGGGAGGAAUAAAAUGACGUGUACCUGAAGAAUAAGCAUCGGCUAACUCCGUGCCAGCAGCCGCGGUAAGACGGAGGAUGCAAGUGUUAUCCGGAAUCACUGGGCGUAAAGCGUCUGUAGGUUGCUUAAUAAGUCAACUGUUAAAUCUUGAGGCUUAACCUCAAAAUCGCAGUUGAAACUAUUAGACUAGAGUAUAGUAUAGGUAAAGGGAAUUUCCAGUGGAGCGGUGAAAUGCGUAGAUAUUGGAAAGAACACCAAUGGCGAAGGCACUUUACUGGGCUAUUACUGACACUCAGAGACGAAAGCUAGGGUAGCAAAUG